GGAGCGGUAAUACGGCCGGUUGCAACCGGUCUGGCACGCCAGGGCUUGCAGGUUAGAGCCCGGUCCGCUCCGCCA
rnacentral:tRNA from 3 species